rnacentral:rRNA from 1 species
GAUGAACGCUGGCGGCGUGCUUAACACAUGCAAGUCGAACGAAGCACUUGAAUGGAAUUCUUCGGAAGGAAGCUCAAGUGACUGAGUGGCGGACGGGUGAGUAACGCGUGGGUAACCUGCCUCAUACAGGGGGAUAACAGUUAGAAAUGACUGCUAAUACCGCAUAAGCACACGUGAUCGCAUGAUCGAGUGUGAAAAACUCCGGUGGUAUGAGAUGGACCCGCGUCUGAUUAGCUAGUUGGUGGGGUAAUGGCCCACCAAGGCGACGAUCAGUAGCCGGCCUGAGAGGGUGAACGGCCACAUUGGGACUGAGACACGGCCCAAACUCCUACGGGAGGCAGCAGUGGGGAAUAUUGCACAAUGGGGGAAACCCUGAUGCAGCGACGCCGCGUGAAGGAUGAAGUAUUUCGGUAUGUAAACUUCUAUCAGCAGGGAAGAAAAUGACGGUA